CCGAGUAACUGGGUCGGCGCUCACGCCUCCCGUUCUCCCACCCCAUGUUUACUUACCCCUGUUGCCUCGGCGGGCCUGCGGGCCCCGCCUGCUGCUGGCCUCGGCUAGUUAGCGCCCGCCGGAGGACCCAUGAAACUCUAUUUUAACGUGUCGUCUGAGUAAAACUUUAAUAAGUUA
rnacentral:misc_RNA from 1 species